CCCUCUUAUUUUACAUCUGUUUGCAAAAAGUUGGUUACUAAUAUGAAUCUUCAUUGUUACUUCAUUUCAUUUUUGCUUUCCUAAGGCUGUGGUUAUUCAAAACAGCAUUUUUUCACAUAUUUCCUCUUUUGAACUUAUUUCUAGAGGAAAUUUAUCAUCUGCAAUUUUCAUUUGGCUGCAGAAGGUUUGAUUGUUCUGAAACUCACUGCCCACUUUCAACAUGGUGGUAGCAAAUAUUUGACUUUUAUUGAUUAUAUAUUUGAAACAUCCUUACGUAAAAUUGAUCCAACAGCUAUGAUCCUUAUUCCUUCCUAACAGUUCAGUCAAUAUUACGUCUCUGAAACAUUCGACUUUUCAAAUCAUAUUCAGCAUGCUCCAUUUGACAGGUGUAAGUACCCUUUUAUUUCCAUUGACUUAUCUAUUUUCAGGUUCCUCCCUCCAGAUUAUUCUCAACAAUUCAUGAAAAAGAGAGUUGGGAAUAUCUGAGUGGAAAAGAAACUGGUAUAAGCGACUGUCUGAUUUGGGUUCGUUGGGAUCUCCUCAGUUGAUGGCACAACAAAACCGAUCCGGCAAUAGAACGUAUUUUUCUGCUUUAUGGGUGAUCAGCCUGCCAAAAGAAUUCUUGCCACCAGAAGUCAUUUUGCAGUUAUGAAAUGCAGUUGAUCAAUUGUACUUGAGAUUCCAUUGUACUUUUCCUACCACGGUGCACUGGUUUUCCUAAUUUCUUCCGAAAUCUUGCAACCUGCGUGGACAUGACAAGAUGAUGCGAGAACUGGAUCCAUCCCCAGUAAAACCCAAAGGUUACUUAUCUUCCCCUUCCGCUAUUCAUGGCAGUUGUUUGUUCAUAUGAUGUACAAUAAGUAUGUAUCUUCUGUUGAUGGUUUCAGUUUUAUUUCUAUAGCUUCAGAUCAUAUGCAAUAUGGGCAAGGCAGUUAUGCCAUACACUGCUAGAUCAUGUUUCAUCUUGUGGCUUGAAAUUUCUAUUGAUCGGAUCUAUCUUUGUGGUUCUUUGGUGCAGAUUGCAGAGCUUGAUCAGGAUUAACACCAGAAAGAUGCAUUAGGGCACGCUUUGCUGUGUGUUUGAUGCCUUUCUGUUAUUGUGCUGUCCAGAUUUAUUAGAAACUAUUCUUACUACAUUUUCUUUGGCUUUUAUGUUACUACUUUCUUUCUUAGUGUUCAGUAAUGUUUUUUCUGUUUUUUUAAUAUAGCUUUGAUAAUCUACUUUUGUUUUUUUUCUAUGGAUUGUUCGUUUAAGAAAAAGAAAACACUAGAAAGUUUAUUCGGUUAGUUCCAUUUGUUUCAUGUUUACCACUUAUUUGGAGUCUUCUGAAUUAGAUCUCUUAUGUUUGUAACUAUUUCUGAUUAUCUCUGCUCUGCACUGAAAAAUGUUGGAAAUUUAUUGACAUACCCCUCUUCUACAGGAUGCUCUGGCUAUAUGAUUUCAGUUUUAUGGAUUUCUGCUUCUAGUAACCAGAAGGUGGUAGACGGAGGUCUGAAAAACAAGUGGCUCAUCGACUCCGAUUGUUCGCGCCAUAUGACCAGAGAUGCAUCAUGAUUCUUCAACCUCACCUCGAUGAAGCGACACGAGUACAUCUGUUUGAGGACGAUAGAUAAGGAAGAGUGAAGGCCAAAGGCCAGGCGUGAGCACAAUUGAUAACAUGUCCGUUGGUGUAGCGAUUGUGAGGAACCAAUCUUGCUGGUUGGAAGCCACAGAUUAUGAACUACUCCUAUUAGCACUAAAAUUUUUUGAAUUGUUUUCCAUUCUUGAUUUUAUUUCUAUUUUUACGGGAGCAGGUGCCCUUUGUUUCGCCUGAGAUCAAAGUUGACUUUCCAGAUUCAAAGCAUGCGUUCAAAGUCUUACUUAUCUUGAGUUAAAAGUUGAAUUCUCAAGGCUC